UUCAGGUAUUUCAAGAAAAAAUGUGGCACCUCAUCAUUAAAGUCUCUGUCUUCAAAUGGCUUUUAUACUCUCAAAACCAUUUACAAUAUAAAUUCUGUAAACAAUUUUCUCCAAAAUCAUGGGUCAAUUGAAAUUUUUUAAAGUACAGUUUGCAUGUCAAUAGUUACAUAUAAAUGAAAGACAACAAUGGGCAGAUGAAAUUUUUCUAAAUUCAAUUUUUGGUUUUUAAAGCUAGAAACACCACUUGUAGAGAAGAGAAUGGCAUCCCCUAUGAUAGAACCACUCAAGUAAAAUGUGAGGGGUGGAGAUAAAGUUCCCUUGGGACUACAUUUUCCAAGUUAUAUUUGAUCUUCUGUAAACAACAACAACAGCAACAAGAAAAUGGUACUUUUUACAACCAUUCUCUCAUUUAAUUCUUGCCUACCCCCUUGAGGCAGUUAUUUGUUAUUCUUACUUUACAGAUGAGGAAACUGAUCAUUAAACAACAUCUGCAUUUUCCCAAAAUCACAUUGCUAAUAAAAUCCUUGUGGUUUUGCAGUUACACCACCUGUAUAUUUACUUAUAUUCUGCCAAAAUGACCUACUGACAUUCCUUGCCAUACACUUCUAUAUUUUUGUACUCCACUUUAUUCCACAAAGUUGAGGAAGAUAAUUGAAAAUCUUGGAGGAAAGAAAUUCCUGUAACAUAUUCCAUUUUUCCUCUAUUCAGUGCUUUCUGGAAACAUCUAUUCAACAGAGUGGGGGAUUGUUGUAGAAAUAUGGAAUUCACGGUGACUCAAUUUGUUCUCGUCUUUUGCUAUUCCCAAAUAGGAUUUCAGAUAAAGAGCAACUAUUCAAGGCUAACAAAAGGGAAGAGCUGGCCAAGCUGAUUUCUUAAUUCUACAUAAUGACAAAGCAGUGGUAGAACGUGUUAAUUAAGUCAAAAGUAUUAAUAAAAUCUGUCUUCCACAGACUUUUCUUAAAGAAUGCGUCUACCCUUGAGCCACCCACUGUCCUGAGCAGACUUUUGCAUUUACUCUCUGAACAUUCCUUCAAGAAAUGCAGUCUGCCUAGAGAUUCUGAAGUUGUCUUUAUACCUACAGAAAGCUCUGCAUCACUUAAGACCAAGAGAACAACUUGAACUCCACCCACCAGACUGCUGAAGUUACUCUAUGCUGACCUGGCAAAAACAAGGAGGGGCCAACCCAACACUUUGGCCUUAUCAGCCCCCGCAGAUGCUGCUCUGUGUCCCUUCUGCCAGUUCUGGCUCAGUGAGGUGUCUCCCAGUCCCACUGACUGGCGGUUGCCAUAACGACAUUGCGCACACGAGGGAGGCCUGGCGGAGCAGUGGUGGGGCCAGGUGGAGAGGAGGAGGUAGAACAGACAGCUGAGCCACACAGCAUCCCAGCCAGGAUGACACGGAGGCAGGUGACCAUAGGAAGUGAGGCAGAGGAGGAUGGGGAAGAAGCUGCAGCCCAGAACCAUGAUUGCAAAUGAGCAGAGUCUGGCCUCAAGAGAGGGAGGAAGAAGCUGGUGAGGAAAAGUGGAAGGAGAAAAUAAAAUGGUUAGAAAAACACUAUAGACAAGCAUAAGAAAAAUGGAAACCAAAAAGAGACAUCGCUGCCACUGGAAAAAUGUCGGUCUCAGACAUCGUGAACACAGGAAAAGCAUUCUUCUCUGCUGCCUAUUUGCGUUUAGAUUAAUAUGGGUUUUGGGGGUUUUUGUUUUGUUUUUCCUUGAGACAAGGUCUCACAUUGUCACCCAGGCUGGAAUGCGGUAUUGGGAUCACAGCUCAUUGCAGCCUACACCUCCAGGCUCAACUGCCUCAGCCUCCCAACUGUCUGGGACUACAGACGUGCACCACUGUACCCGGCUAAUUUUUUGAUUUUUUUGUAAAGAUAAGGUCUCACUAUGCUGCCCAGGUUGGUCUCAAACUCCUGAUCUCAAGAGAUCCUCCCACCUCAGCCUCCCAAAGUGCCAGGAUUACAGGUGUGAGCUGCCAUGCCUGGCGACUUUAUGGUUUUAACAUGAAAUAAGACCAAUAUGGCUUUAACAUGAAAUAAAAAUCAUUAACUUCAGUUCAGCUCAAUAUGCCAGUCUUGGUUAUGAUAGACUACUGGUUCAGGCCCUAUUUAAAUCUGUGGAAAAUAUCCAUGUGUCUUCCUCUCUGAAUUGUUAUAAUGACUUCGAUGAAUUGUUGAAUAUUCAAAUGCUUGCUAAAUGCUAGAACAUCCUAUAAAUGUAAGAGUCAUCAUCGUCUCUUGAUUUUAUCAUCAUUGAUGUUUAACAUGCUUCUCUUUCACUUUCCCAGUCUCCUUUGGACUAUCUUUGGAAGAUUUUUUUUUUCUUUUUUUCCCCCAUUAAUUGUAGAGUAUUUGGGCACAUAUGCUUUUCUCAGAGGAGCAACUGAAGUUUAACCUGUAAAUCUGUAACUAAGCAAGGCCAGAUAACUUUCAUCUGCCUUAGUUAUUAUCAUUAAAAAUAAAAGUUGGAACCUAACUCAAUUCAAAUAUCCUG
rnacentral:lncRNA from 10 species